UACAGAGGGUGCAAGCGUUAAUCGGAAUUACUGGGCGUAAAGCGUGCGUAGACGGUUACAUAAGUCGGGUGUGAAAGCCCAGAGCUUAACUCUGGAAUUGCCUUUGAGACUGAGAGGCUUGAGUACGGGAGAGGUGAGUGGAAUUCCCAGUGUAGAGGUGAAAUUCGUAGAUAUUGGGAAGAACACCGGUGGCGAAGGCGGCUCACUGGCCCGUAACUGACGCUCAUGCACGACAGCGUGGGGAUCAAACAGG
rnacentral:rRNA from 1 species